rnacentral:rRNA from 1 species
UACGUAGGGGGCUAGCGUUGUCCGGAUUUACUGGGCGUAAAGGGCGCGUAGGCGGCGCGGUAAGUCACUUGUGAAAUCUCUGAGCUUAACUCAGAACGGCCAAGUGAUACUGCAGUGCUAGAGUGUGGAAGGGGCAAUCGGAAUUCUUGGUGUAGCGGUGAAAUGCGUAGAUAUCAAGAGGAACACCUGAGGUGAAGACGGGUUGCUGGGCCAACACUGACGCUGAUGCGCGAAAGCCAGGGGAGCAAACGGG